rnacentral:rRNA from 1 species
UCCGGCAGUGAUCUUGUCAAAAAUGAGCUACGGAGGGGCAGGCUGGUUUAAUACUUGGAUGGGAAACCUCCAGCGAAAACCUGCACGCUCCCGGCA